UACAGAGGUCUCAAGCGUUGUUCGGAAUCACUGGGCGUAAAGGGUGCGUAGGCGGCGGGGUAAGUCGGAUGUGAAAUCCCGGGGCUCAACCCCGGAACUGCAUUCGAUACUGCCUUGCUAGAGUACUGGAGAGGAGACUGGAAUUUACGGUGUAGCAGUGAAAUGCGUAGAUAUCGUAAGGAAGACCAGUGGCGAAGGCGAGUCUCUGGACAGUUACUGACGCUGAGGCACGAAGGCCAGGGGAGCAAACGGG
rnacentral:rRNA from 1 species